rnacentral:rRNA from 1 species
UUUGCCCUACGGGACGCAGCAGUGAGGAAUAUUGGUCAAUGGCCGGAAGGCUGAACCAGCCAAGCCGCGUGAGGGAGGAAGGUACAGAGUAUCGUAAACCUCUUUUGUCAGGGAACAAAGGCGGGGACGUGUCCCCGGAUGAGUGUACCUGAAGAAAAAGCAUCGGCUAACUCCGUGCCAGCAGCCGCGGUAAUAAGGAGGAUGCGAGCGUUAUCCGGAUUUAUUGGGUUUAAAGGGUGCGCAGGCGGGCUGUUAAGUCAGCGGUCAAAGCCCGGGGC